rnacentral:rRNA from 1 species
UACGGGGGGGGCAAGCGUUGUUCGGAAUUACUGGGCGUAAAGGGCUCGUAGGCGGCCAACUAAGUCAGACGUGAAAUCCCUCGGCUUAACCGGGGAACUGCGUCUGAUACUGGAUGGCUCGAGUUUGGGAGAGGGAUGCGGAAUUCCAGGUGUAGCGGUGAAAUGCGUAGAUAUCAGGAAGAACACCAAUGGCGAAAGCAGCUUUCUGGGACGGUACUGACGCUGAGACGCGAAAGCGUGGGGGAGCGAACAGG